GAUGAACGCUGGCGGCAGGCUUAAUACAUGCAAGUCGAACGGUAACAUGUCGGAGCAAUCUGAUGAUGACGAGUGGCGCACGGGUGCGUAACGCGUAUGCAACCUACCCAUAACCGGAACAUAACGUUGAGAAAUCGGCGCUAAUAUUCCAUGUGUAUAUUUUGUGGCAUCAUAGAAUAUAUAAAGAUUAAUUGGUUAUGGAUGGGCAUGCGUAUCAUUAGCUAGUUGGUGGGGUAACGGCCUACCAAGGCUGCGAUGAUUAGGGGUUCUGAGAGGAUAACCCCCCCACACUGGAACUGAGACACGGUCCAGACUCCUACGGGAGGCAGCAGUAGGGAAUAUUGGGCAAUGGAGGCAACUCUGACCCAGCCAUGCCGCGUGAAGGAAGACGGUCCUAUGGAUUGUAAACUUCUUUUAUCAUAGAGUAACCGCAGGGACGUGUCCCUGCCUGCAAGUAUAUGAUGAAUAAGC
rnacentral:rRNA from 1 species